GGCCAGUUAGCUCAGUUGGUUAGAGCUUGGUGUUUAUAACACCAAGGUUAUGGGUUCAGAUCCCCAUCCUGGCCA